CACACACAUCUGAAGAUUAAAGCUAGCACCUACAUAUGAGAGACAACAUGUGUCUUUAUGGGUCUGGGUUACUUUACUCAGAAUCAUUUCUUUCUUUCUUUCUUUUUUUUGAAACAGGGUAUCAAGUAGCCCUGGCUGGCCUCCAACUCACUGUACAGAUAAGGGUGUUGAAUCUCUGAUCCUACCUUCACCUCCCAGAGUGCUGAGGUUGCAGCCAUGCACCACUGUGUCCAGUUUUGAUGCCUCGUGGAUGCAAUCCAGGGCCCCUUGCAUGCUGGGCGAGUGCUCUGUCGACUGAGCCACAUCCCCAGCCCUGAUUUUGCUAAUCCUUGAAGCUGAUGCCUAGCCUAAGUGAUGGUGGGGUUUUAAUUGUACUCUUUUACUUUUUGAAGAUUUAUUUACGUUGGUUUUUAUGUGUAUAAGUGUUUUGCUUGCAUAUGUAUCCGUGGACCACAUAUGUGUCCUGCUAGAAGAAGCCAGAAGAAGGCAUCAGAUCCUCCGGGACUGGAGCUAUGGACAUUUGUGGGCUGCCAUUGCAGAUAUUGGGAGCUGAACCAGGUUCUUUGUAAGAGUAACAAGUUCUCUUUACCAUUGAGCCAUCUCUCCAACCCCUAAUUCUUCUUCAUAGAUAAUCCAAAAAGAAGGUUCCAACCUUCUGGAAUAUGUAUAAGGUGUGACAAAGGCUGAUAUUGGACUCAUGAAUGCAGAUCAACAAGGGACAGACAAACCAUUUGCCAUUGGAAAAUUGCCUAAGGUGUCACCUGCAGGCCCAAAUAUUUGAUUCACUCAUGAACUGUCAGCAUCGGAGAAACUCCUCCACAAAGAAAUUAAAAGACUUAAUGCCUGUUGUUUAAAACAACACAGCUUUGGAUGUAAUCCAGGACAGAACUUCUUCAGUAGAUAAAACAAAAAAUUCAAAAGAGACCAGAAAACAAGCAUUUUGGCAAACUACUAUAAAUGACCAGAUAUCAAAGCUAAAAAUACAAAUAAAUGGCCUUGAAAUCGAA